GAUUAUAUAAAUUGAUUGGGAACGUUAGGUGUUGUUUGUAUUAUAUGAACUUUUACAUUAUGUUGUUUUUGCCAUGGGUCAAAGACCAUUAGUAACAAGACAGUGCCAUCAUUUAGGAGAUUGCAAUAUAGAGGAUUGACCCAUUCAAACUCUAUGGGCACAGCUUCAUUACACAGCUAAAACCCUAAUUUGGGAUUACCCUACUGAAG
rnacentral:lncRNA from 1 species